GCAUGAUGGAAAUGGGGCGUCCAAAUCUGAGAUGCAGGCAGUGUGAGGCACCAAGGGAUGAGGGGGAGGAAGUGCAAGAGUACACUGGACUGGUCAAGCAAGAUGAACAGCAAAAGGCAACCAAGGGGGGCCGGGCCAGUCAAGCAAGAGGCUGACACAGCUCCUGGUAAACCCAUGGCUGCGCAAGGCUUUGUAAAGUGCAGGACCAGCUGCUGUGCAGUUACGCCCAUCCACAAGAGGACGCACUCACGCUGCACAAGCACUUCCUUUUAUUUUUUCCCCCACCUGGGAGGCGUUGCUGUGUCCUUGAUCAGCAUUCAAGGGAGCUCAGCUGGCCGGAGCCUUAAGCUGGUCAAAGGUUCCCCUAAGCAUUUUUUUGUCCUCUCUGACUAUCCUAAUCACUUGGGUAACAUGGCUC
rnacentral:misc_RNA from 1 species